CACACAGUAAACGAUGAAUACUCGCUGUUUGCGAUAUACAGUAAGCGGCCAAGCGAAAGCAUUAAGUAUUCCACCUGGGGAGUACGCCGGCAACGGUGAAACUCAAAGGAAUUGACGGGGGCCCGCACAAGCGGAGGAACAUGUGGUUUAAUUCGAUGAUACGCGAGGAACCUUACCCGGGCUUAAAUUGCACCUGAAUAACGUGGAAACAUGUUAGCCGCAAGGCAGGUGUGAAGGUGC
rnacentral:rRNA from 1 species